GCCCUUGUAGCUCAACGGCAGAGCAACCGCCUUGUAAGCGGUAGGUUUUCGGUUCAAAUCCGAACUUUGGCG
rnacentral:tRNA from 1 species